rnacentral:misc_RNA from 1 species
AACUGAAGUAUACUGUGGGGACGAAAGUCCUCGCUUUGAAACUAGAUAACAACUUUCAGCAGUGGAUGUYUAGGCUCGCACAUCGAUGAAGAMCGCUGCGAAYUGCGAUACGUAAUGCGAAUUGCAGGAUUCAGUGAGUCAUCGAACUUUUGAACGCAUAUUGCACUUUCGGGUUACGCCUGGAAGUAUGUCUGUAUCAGUGUCCGUACACUAAACUUGCGUCUCUUCCGUCGUGUAGUCGUCGGUUGUUUGAUUGCAGAUGUGAGGUUGUCUCGCGAUGCACCUUUAUUGGAUGGGUUGCGAGUCCCUUUAAAGUCGGACGCGUUUUUUCCGUUUUGUGCUUGAUGGGGUGCGGCUGCGGCCGUGUCUGCUGGCGGGUCCGGUGACCUUUGGCGAUGGCAUGAGAGUGGAUUGCUCGAUUUGCGGUAUGUUAGGCUUCGGCUUUGACAAUGCAGCUUAUUGAGUGUGUUCGCUUGGCUGUUGCUGUAUGGGUGAGCUGGAUGGUCGGUGGGUGCGUUGUUGCGUGUCGUUUUCAUGGAGUGCGUUUCGGUUGUCGUCGCCAUUUGGGAAUUUAAUGUUUUGAGUCUCGAUUCAAUACAUCUCA